rnacentral:rRNA from 1 species
GUAGGUGAACCUGCGGAGGGAUCAUUACAGAGUUGCAAAACUCCCUAAACCAUUGUGAACGUUACCUAAACCGUUGCUUCGGCGGGCGGCGCCGGGGUUUACCCCCCGGGCGCCCCUGGGCCCCACCGCGGGCGCCCGCCGGAGGUCACCAAACUCUUGAUAAUUUAUGGCCUCUCUGAGUCUUCUGUACUGAAUAAGUCAAAACUUUCAACAACGGAUCUCUUGGUUCUGGCAUCGAUGAAGAACGCAGCGAAAUGCGAUAAGUAAUGUGAAUUGCAGAAUUCAGUGAAUCAUCGAAUCUUUGAACGCACAUUGCGCCCGCCAGUAUUCUGGCGGGCAUGCCUGUUCGAGCGUCAUUUCAACCAUCAAGCCCCGGGCUUGUGUUGGGGACCUGCGGCUGCCGCAGGCCCUGAAAAGCAGUGGCGGGCUCGCUGUCACACCGAGCGUAGUAGCAUACAUCUCGCUCUGGGCGUGCUGCGGGUUCCGGCCGUUAAACCACCUUUUAACCCAAGGUUGACCUCGGAUCAGGUAGGAAGACCCGCUGAACUUAAGCAUAUCAAUAAG